rnacentral:rRNA from 1 species
UACGUAGGGCGCAAGCGUUAUCCGGAAUUAUUGGGCGAAAGAGCUCGUAGGCGGUUUGUCGCGUCUGCCGUGAAAGUCCGGGGCUCAACUCCGGAUCUGCGGUGGGUACGGGCAGACUAGAGUGAUGUAGGGGAGACUGGAAUUCCUGGUGUAGCGGUGAAAUGCGCAGAUAUCAGGAGGAACACCGAUGGCGAAGGCAGGUCUCUGGGCCAUUACUGAUACUGAGAAGCGAAAGCAUGGGGAGCGAACAGG